CAGGACGAACGCUGGCGGCGUGCCUAACACAUGCAAGUCGAACGGAGCUAAGGAAGCUUGCUCCGGAGCUUAGUGGCGGACGGGUGAGUAACACGUGAGUAACCUGCCUUCAGAGGGGAAUAAUGUUUGGAAACGGACACUAAUACCGCAUAAUAUAUUUUAAUCGCAUGAUUGAAAUAUCAAAGGAGCAAUCCGCUGAAAGAUGGACUCGCGUCUGAUUAGCCAGUUGGCGGGGUAACGGCCCACCAAAGCGACGAUCAGUAGCCGGACUGAGAGGUUGAACGGCCACAUUGGGACUGAGACACGGCCCAGACUCCUACGGGAGGCAGCAGGUGGGGGAUAUUGCACAAUGGGCGCAAGCCUGAUGCAAGCAACGCCGCGUGCAGGAAGACGGUCUUCGGAUUGUAAACUGUUGUCCUCUGUGACGAUAAUGACGGUAGCAGAGGAGGAAGCCACGGCUAACUACGUGCCAGCCGCAGC
rnacentral:rRNA from 1 species